CACCAACAGACAUAACUUUUAACUUUUUGGCAACAAUAAAACUUCCUACCCUUUCACAUUCUCAUCAAAUUGCCCUAACAACCAUAGUUUCCAACCAAGAAAGUGAACAAAAUAUCUAACUCCUGGCAAAUGGUCUCCAGGCCCAGAUGGUUUUUCAAUCUUUAUUACAAAUUGUUUGCCUCACUACUGGCACCUAAACUUGAGCUUACCUUUAACGAUAUAAUUAAAACAGAUACCAUGCCACAAGAUAUGCUAGCAGUCCGUGUAGCCACCCUCUCUAAACCAGGCAAACCUCCAAAUAAAGGCCAGAAUCUACGCCCUAUCUCACUUCUGAAUUCAGAUGUGAAGAUACUUGCAAAAGUAUAUACAGUAAGACUCACUAGCAUCAUACCAGAGUUUAUACAUGGCGAUCAAGUUAGGUUUGUGGGAAAUAGGUAUAGAGCAG